rnacentral:rRNA from 2 species
GCGUGGGGAGCGAACAGGAUUAGAUACCCUGGUAGUCCACGCCGUAAACGAUGAGUGCUAAGUGUUAGAGGGUUUCCGCCCUUUAGUGCUGCAGCAAACGCAUUAAGCACUCCGCCUGGGGAGUACGGGCGCAAGACUGAAACUCAAAGGAAUUGACGGGGGCCCGCACAAGCGGUGGAACAUGUGGUUUAAUUCCAAGCAACGCGAAAAACCUUACCAGGUCUUGACAUCCUUCGCUACUUCUAGAGAUAGAAGGUUUCCCUUCGGGGGACGAAGUGACAGGGGGUGCAUGGUUGUCGUCAGCUCGUGUCGGGAGAUGUUGGGUUAAGUCCCGCAACGAGCGCAACCCUUGAUCUUAGUUGCCAGCAUUCAGUUGGGCACUCUAAGGUGACUGCCGGUGACAAACCGGAGGAAGGUGGGGAUGACGUCAAAUCAUCAUGCCCCUUAUGACCUGGGCUACACACGUGCUACAAUGGAUGGUACAAAGGGCUGCAAGACCGCGAGGUCAAGCCAAUCCCAUAAAACCAUUCUCAGUUCGGAUUGCAGGCUGCAACUCGCCUGCAUGAAGCCGGAAUCGCUAGUAAUCGCGGAUCAGCAUGCCGCGGUGAAUACGUUCCCGGGCCUUGUACACACCGCCCGUCACACCACGAGAGUUUGUAACACCCGAAGUCGGUGGGGUAAC